rnacentral:rRNA from 1 species
AUUGAACGCUGGCGGCAUGCCUUACACAUGCAAGUCGAACGGUAACAGGGAGCUUGCUCCGCUGACGAGUGGCGAACGGGUGAGUAAUGUAUCGGAACGUACCAUUCAGUGGGGGAUAACGUAGCGAAAGUUACGCUAAUACCGCAUAUUCUGUGAGCAGGAAAGCAGGGGAUCGCAAGACCUUGCGCUGAUUGAGCGGCCGAUAUCAGAUUAGCUAGUUGGUGAGGUAAAGGCUCACCAAGGCGACGAUCUGUAGCGGGUCUGAGAGGAUGAUCCGCCACACUGGAACUGAGACACGGUCCAGACUCCUACGGGAGGCAGCAGUGGGGAAUUUUGGACAAUGGGCGCAAGCCUGAUCCAGCCAUUCCGCGUGCAGGAUGAAGGCCUUCGGGUUGUAAACUGCUUUUGUACGGUAACGAAACGGUUCUCUCUAAUACAGGGGGCUAAUGACGGUACCGUAAGAAUAAGCACCGGCUAACUACGUGCCA